rnacentral:rRNA from 1 species
AGCGAACGCUGGCGGCAGGCUUAACACAUGCAAGUCGAGCGGGCCCUUCGGGGUCAGCGGCGGACGGGUGAGUAACCCGUGGGAACGUGCCUUCUGGUUCGGAUUAACCCUGGGAAACUAGGGCUAAUACCGGAUACGCCCUUUUGGGGAAAGGUUUACUGUCAGAAGAUCGGCCAGCGUCUGAUUAGCUAGUUGGUGGGGUAAUGGUCUACCAAGGCGACGAGCAGUAGCUGGGCGGAGAGGACGAUCAGCCACACUGGGACUGAGACACGGCCCAGACUCCUACGGGAGGCAGCAGUGGGGAAUAUUGGACAAUGGGCGCAAGCCUGAUCCAGCCAUGCCGCGUGAGUGAUGAAGGCCUUAGGGUUGUAAAGCUCUUUUAUCCGGGACGAUAAUGACGGUACCGGAGGAAUAAGCCCCGGCUAACUUCGUGCCAGCCGCCGCGGUAA